rnacentral:rRNA from 1 species
GAGAAGGCUAUGUUGGCCGGGCGACGGUUGUCCCGGUUUAAGCGUGUAGGCUGGUUUUCCAGGCAAAUCCGGAAAACCAAGGCUGAGGCGUGAUGACGAGGCACUACGGUGCUGAAGCGACAAAUGCCCUGCUUCCAGGAAAAGCCUCUAAGCAUCAGGUAACAUUAAAUCGUACCCCAAACCGACACAGGUGGUCAGGUAGAGAAUACCAAGGCGCUUGAGAGAACUCGGGUGAAGGAACUAGGCAAAAUGGUGCCGUAACUUCGGGAGAAGGCACGCUGAUAUGUAGGUGAAGCGACUUGCUCGUGGAGCUGAAAUCAGUCGAAGAUACCAGCUGGCUGCAACUGUUUAUUAAAAACACAGCACUGUGCAAACACGAAAGUGGACGUAUACGGUGUGACGCCUGCCCGG